CAGUAAAUGAAGGAGACUAUGUGAACAGGAAGUCUUUCCACAGCAUUAAUGUACAGAUCAUAUAUGAUGCUGCCAACAUUAUCACAAAUGUGGAAGCCAAGUGGCCAGGCUCUGUUCAUGACUCACAAAUAUUCCGUGAAUGUACACUGAGCACAAAAUUUGGACAUGGUGAGUUGAGAAUACUUUAAAAUAUAUAAAGACCAAUUGCUUCAGGGACAUUUGAACUGAAGUGUAUCCUUCUGUCUUAGGAGAGUUCACUGGCUACUUGCUUGGUGAUAGGGGGUAUCCAUGUUUACCCUAUUUGCUUACCCCUUACCCUGACCCUGAACCGGGCCCACAGCAGCGA